GACGAACGCUGGCGGCGUGCUUAACACAUGCAAGUCGAACGAAGUGGUGAACGGGUGAGUAAUACGUGGGUAACAUGCUCUCUUUUUUGGGAUAAGCAUUGGAAACGGCGUCUAAUACUAACUAAAGGGGGAUGGGUUUGGGGCCUUUCAGCUUGUUGGUGGGGUGGUGGCCUACCAAGGCGGUGACGGGUAGCCGGCUUGAGGGGGUGACCGGGCACGUGGGGACUGAGAUAUGGCCCAGAGUCGUACGGGUAGGGGCAGUGGGGGAUAUGGGGCAAUGGGCGAAGGCCUGAUGCAGCGACGCCGCGUGGGGGAUGAAGGCGUUCGGGUUGUAAACCUCGGUAGCUAUCGAAUGGGUAGUUGGAGAGGAAGCGCCGGCUAACUACGUGCCAGCAGCCGCGGUAAUUC
rnacentral:rRNA from 1 species